GAUGAACGCUAGCGGCAGGCUUAACACAUGCAAGUCGAGGGGCAGCAUGAGACGGAGAUUCGUCGAAGUCUUGAUGGCGACCGGCGCAAGGGUGCGUAACGCGUGAGCAACUUGCCCGUUUCAGGGGGAUAACCGGUGGAAACGCCGACUAAUACCCCAUAGUAUUGAUUUAAGGCAUCUUUUAUCAAUUAAAGAAAUUCGGAAACGGAUAGGCUCGCGUGACAUUAGCUAGAUGGUGAGGUAAUGGCUCACCAUGGCGACGAUGUCUAGGGGUUCUGAGAGGAAGGUCCCCCACACUGGAACUGAGACACGGUCCAGACUCCUACGGGAGGCAGCAGUGAGGAAUAUUGGGUCAAUGGUCUGACGACUGAACCAGCCAUGCCGCGUGAAGGUGACGGCCCUAUGGGUCUUAAACUUCUUUUGUAAGGGAGCAAUAAGGUCUACGUGUAGGCCGAUGAGAGUACCUUACGAAUAAGCAUCGGCUAACUCCGUGCCAG
rnacentral:rRNA from 1 species